rnacentral:tRNA from 1 species
GCCCCCGUAGCUCAGAGGAGAGAGCACUGGCCUCCGGAGCCAGGUGCGCAGGUUCGAGUCCUGCCGGGGGCA